GCACAAGAUUGGGGAGGAAAUGAUGAAGUUGAUAGGAUCAUAAGUUCAAGUUUGUGUAAAUUUCCUAUACAAGAAGCUGAUUUUGGCUGGGGAAAACCAUGUUUGAUGCAUUUUGGAUCAAGACAUGGUCAAGUUUGUUGGUUGUAUGAUGCAGAAUGUGGCAAUGGGAUUUGUGUGCAAGUAGAUUUGAAGGAAGAUAAUAUGAAUCUAUUUGAAUGUGACAAUG
rnacentral:misc_RNA from 1 species